rnacentral:rRNA from 1 species
GAACCUUACCUGGGCUUGACAUGUCCGGAAUCCUGCAGAGAUGCGGGAGUGGCCCUUCGGGGAAUCGGAACACAGGUGCUGCAUGGCUGUCGUCAGCUCGUGUCGUGAGAUGUUGGGUUAAGUCCCGCAACGAGCGCAACCCUUGUCCUUAGUUGCCAGCGGUUCGGCCGGGCACUCUAGGGAGACUGCCGGUGACAAACCGGAGGAAGGUGGGGAUGACGUCAAGUCCUCAUGGCCUUUAUGUCCAGGGCUACACACGUGCUACAAUGGCGCGUACAGAGGGACGCCAAACCGCGAGGUGGAGCAGACCCCAGAAAGCGCGUCGUAGUUCGGAUUGCAGUCUGCAACUCGACUGCAUGAAGUCGGAAUCGCUAGUAAUCGCGGAUCAGCAUGCCGCGGUGAAUACGUUCCC